rnacentral:sRNA from 1 species
GAGCCUGCAAAAUCAGGUUACGGGAUUGGCAUCCUGAAAACUUCAUCGGCGAUAUUAAGCGCAUCAGCGUUUUUUUG